rnacentral:tRNA from 1 species
UUUUUAAUGGCAGAUUUAAUGCAAAGGUUUUAAGCACCUUAGAUGAUAUAUUUAAAUUU